ensembl:lncRNA
UAGUAUUUGCCGGUGUCGUGCCGAAAAUGGAAUCCACGUCUGAAAUCGCACCCCCUCUCCGCGUGAACGGGUACUCUGGGACAUUCAGCCUUCUCCUUCGUAGCCGGCAGGCCUGGAACACUUCCUAAAAAAAUAGACCUCCAGGGUGAAGGCCCUCGGGUUCCCCCAGUACCCCUCCUCCGGGCCCUUCAAGGCAACCUCAAAGGCCCGUGAGUCCUGCAGGCGGACCGGCUCCAGUCUCAGCGAACAGUCCCCCUCUGAGAUCCGCCCGUGGAGGGAGGUCCGUCUGAGGUACUCCCCGGCCACGUGACGGGGGUCCUCGCUGUUGAAGGCGGUGCUCCUCGAAGGGAAACGGCGUCCUCCUGUGAACUUCAGCCGGACCUCCACCCGGCCCCCGCCCCUCCUGAGGGGAGCAGCCAGGGGGUGAAGGAGCAGGGGACCACCACACAGGACCCGGCCAGCGCCUGGACUCGACCGGGGACGGACGGGACAGGGGAGGAGCCCCCCGCCGCCGUCCAGGAGAGAGCACCCGCUGGGGGGGAGAGAAGGACAACAUGUCUCCUUUUGUCUCCGUUACUUUGAAGUGCCAGUAAACCCAAAGAACAUCUUAGUGUGUGUUAUUUGACGUUCAACUAAAUCUACGCGAUGUUGUCGCUGUUAUAAAAUGAUAGCGAAAUUCAGGACUGUCGCAGAACCCGUUGUUUUUGCUGGUCCCCGCCAACCAGUUUGUGGAACGUUCUACUCUGCUCCCAGCUCAAGUCCGGUUCUUUUCAUGAUUGCGUCAGGACGAAGGUUCACCGACUACGAGCGUCCUCCUCUGAACACACACUGCGCUAGUGCCUCAGUGUGUGUUGAUGUGUGGAGCUCCAUCCAUCCAGGCAGCAGUUGAUGUUGAUGGCUGUGUCUCGAAAACGUAUAGUAUAACGCCACGGUGUUGGGGCGCAUGUGAUGUCUAGGUCUACAACAUCGCUCAGACCUAGACAACACUCAGGCUACAAGCUUCAAUAUCUCCCCACUCCUUCCUAGAAUUCUUAACUCCAACCUCAGAACUCUCAGCGAUUAGAAAACACACAAAACAUCAGAUGAAGGAUCCGGGGCCGGGAGGAGUGCAGUGGAGGCUUUGUGGGCCGAUAUGAAAUAAAAGUAAAAGAAUUUGGUUUUUAAGUAUUUUGUUUGUCUGAAAAUUAAAUGGCAUCGAGCUGCAAUGCACUAAGCUAAGAAAAAAAACUUCAAGUCAUCAUAACAAAAAAUACAUAUGGCGUAAC